ACUCCAUUUCUGUUGAGACAGAGUACUGACUUGAGCGUCAGAGGGUCUUGUCGGAGCACCCGCAACUCUGAUUUAGACUUUUUUUGCAGGUUUCGAUGGCGACCGCGGUCAUCUCAACUCCAGCAACUCCUACUUCGAUGGAAUUCUGCACCAACACUUACCAUAUAAUUCAUCUCUUUGACUCUAAUGCUCAAGGUGAUCUAGAGUUUGACUGUCAAUACUAAUAUAGUCGACCAUAUUAUAUUUCAAUCUUUCAAAACUAUCAUAUGGAUUAUCCUGGCCA
rnacentral:lncRNA from 1 species